GAUGAAGAACGCAGCGAAAUGCGAUACGUAAUGUGAAUUGCAGAAUUCAGUGAAUCAUCAAAUCUUUGAACGCAUAUUGCGCUCUCUGGUAUUCCGGAGAGCAUGCUUGUUUGAGUAUCAGUAAACACCUCAACUUCCAUAUCUUUUUUGAAAUGGGAGUUGGACUUGAGUGAUCCCAACGCUUUUCCUCACCGAAAAGUGGCGGGUUACUUGAAAUGCAGGUGCAGCUGGACUUUUCUCUGAGCUAUAAGCAUAUCUAUUUAGUCUGCCUAAAAAACAGAUUAUUACCUUUGCUGCAGCUAACAUAAAGGAGAUUAGUUCUUGUGCUGACUGAUGCAGGAUUCACAAAGACAGCUUCGGCCGACUUUGUAAACUCGAUCUCAAAUCAAGUAAGACUACCCGCUGAACUUAAGCAUAUCAAUAAGCGGAGGA
rnacentral:misc_RNA from 1 species